AGUGAACGCUGGCGGUAGGCCUAACACAUGCAAGUCGAACGGCAGCACAGUAAGAGCUUGCUCUUACGGGUGGCGAGUGGAGGACGGGUGAGGAAUACAUCGGAAUCUACUUUUUCGUGGGGGAUAAAGUAGGGAAACUUACGCUAAUACCGCAUACGACCUACGGGUGAAAGCAGGGGAACUUCGGACCUUGCGCGAUUGAAUGAGCCGAUGUCGGAUUAGCUAGUUGGCGGGGUAAAGGCCCACCAAGGCGACGAUCCGUAGCUGGUCUGAGAGGAUGAUCAGCCACACUGGAACUGAGAGACGGUCCAGACUCCUACGGGAGGCAGCAGUGGGGAAGAUUGGAAAAUGGGCGCAAGCCUGCUCCAGCCAUACCGCGUGGGUGAAGAAGGCCUUCGGGUUGUAAAGCCCUUUUGUUGGUAAAGAAAAGCAUCAGGUUAAUACCCCGCUGUUCUGACGGUACCCAAAGAAUAAGCACCGGCUAACUUCGUG
rnacentral:rRNA from 1 species